rnacentral:tRNA from 1 species
GGCUAUAGCUCAGUGACAGAGCACUUGCCUAGCAUGCAUGGGGCACUGGGUUCAAUCCUCAGCACCA